AGCAGCCGCGGUAAUUCCAGCUCCAAUAGCGUAUAUUAAAGUUGUUGCAGUUAAAAAGCUCGUAGUUGAAUUUCGAGACCGGCUUACUGGUCGUGCUAUUGUACGUACUGGUAUAAUCGGUUUCUCCUUUCUGACGAACUAUAAUGCCAUUAAUUUGGUGUUAUAGGGAAUCAGGACUGUUACUUUGAAAAAAUUAGAGUGUUUAAAGCAGGCUCACGCUUGAAUACAUUAGCAUGGAAUAACGGAAUAGGACGUUUGACUCUAUUUUGUUGGUUUCUAGGAUCGACGUAAUGAUUAAUAGGGAUAGUUGGGGGCAUUAGUAUUCAAUUUGUCAGAGGUGAAAUUCUUGGAUUUAUUGAAGACUAACUACUGCGAAAGCAUUUGCCAAGGAUGUUUUCAUUAAUCAAGAACGAAAGUUAGGGGAUCGAAGACGAUCAGAUACCGUCGUAGUCUUAACCAUAAACUAUGCCGACUAGGGAUCGGAUGAUGUUAAUUUUUUAAUGUACUCAUUCGGCGCCUU
rnacentral:misc_RNA from 1 species